rnacentral:rRNA from 1 species
GAUGAACGCUGGCGGCGUGCUUAACACAUGCAAGUCGAACGGUGAAGGCGGAGCUUGCUCUGCUGGAUCAGUGGCGAACGGGUGAGUAACACGUGAGCAAUCUGCCCCUGACUCUGGGAUAAGCGCUGGAAACGGCGUCUAAUACUGGAUACGAGCUGCGAAGGCAUCUUCAGCAGCUGGAAAGAAUUUCGGUCAGGGAUGAGCUCGCGGCCUAUCAGCUUGUUGGUGAGGUAAUGGCUCACCAAGGCGUCGACGGGUAGCCGGCCUGAGAGGGUGACCGGCCACACUGGGACUGAGACACGGCCCAGACUCCUACGGGAGGCAGCAGUGGGGAAUAUUGCACAAUGGGCGAAAGCCUUAUGCAGCAACGCCGCGUGAGGGACGACGGCCUUCGGGUUGUAAACCUCUUUUAGCAGGGAAGAAGCGAAAGUGACGGUACCUGCAGAAAAAGCGCCGGCUAACUACGUG